rnacentral:rRNA from 1 species
GCAUAUCAAUAAGCGGAGGAAAAGAAACCAACAGGGAUUGCCCUAGUAACGGCGAGUGAAGCGGCAACAGCUCAAAUUUGAAAUCUGGCUUCGGCCCGAGUUGUAAUUUGCAGAGGAAGCUUUAGGCGCGGCACCUCCUGAGUCCCCUGGAACGGGGCGCCACAGAGGGUGAGAGCCCCGUAUAGUUGGAUGCCUAGCCUGUGUAAAGCUCCUUCGACGAGUCGAGUAGUUUGGGAAUGCUGCUCAAAAUGGGAGGUAAAUUUCUUCUAAAGCUAAAUACCGGCCAGAGACCGAUAGCGCACAAGUAGAGUGAUCGAAAGAUGAAAAGCACUUUGAAAAGAGGGUUAAAUAGCACGUGAAAUUGUUGAAAGGGAAGCGCUUGUGACCAGACUUGCGCCGGGCUGAUCAUCCGGUGUUCUCACCGGUGCACUCUGCCCGGCUCAGGCCAGCAUCGGUUCUCGCGGGGGGAUAAAGGCCCUGGGAACGUAGCUCCUCCGGGAGUGUUAUAGCCCGGGGCGCAAUGCCCUCGCGGGGACCGAGGUUCGCGCUCUGCAAGGAUGCUGGCGUAAUGGUCAUCAGCGACCCGUCUUGAAACACGGACCAAGGAGUCAAGGUUUUGCGCGAGUGUUUGGGUGUAAAACCCGCACGCGUAAUGAAAGUGAACGUAGGUGAGAGCUUCGGCGCAUCAUCGACCGAUCCUGAUGUUCUCGGAUGGAUUUGAGUAGGAGCGUUAAGCCUUGGACCCGAAAGAUGGUGAACUAUGCUUGGAUAGGGUGAAGCCAGAGGAAACUCUGGUGGAGGCUCGCAGCGGUUCUGACGUGCAAAUCGAUCGUCAAAUCAUGAGCAUGGGGGCGAAAGACUAAUCGAACCAUCUAGUAGCUGGUUACCGCCGA